CAGGAGAGAUCAGAUCAACAAGCAUGAAUACGUCAUUUCAAACCAUAUGGGUGUAAUCCAUAGUUAGUAAAUCGCCUAUUAAUCGGCGAUCUUUUAAAAAAAUCGGCAUUUUUUAUGAAAACAGUUUUAAACGGCGACCUUUUGAAAAGGUCGUGAAAAAAUGGCGUACUUUUCAUAAAAACGUUUAAAACGCGAUUUUUUUAUAAUUCGAUUUAAAUGAGGCCAAAAAAUCUUAUCUUUUUUUACCUAUAAAUUUUUUUUCCCUGUUUUGUGUAUUACAACCAUUGCUACUUUCAUGCUUUUGAAAAAAAAAUUUAUUUCAAAAAAAAAACCCAAAAUAGAAAUUUGUAUCGCCAUAGUGCUCUUCAAAGCCACAAUUGCAUAUUGAAAGUAUGAAUUUUUUCCUUUUUUUAAAAAAUUUAUACAAAGUUGUUAUUAUGGAAAAUCAUUAUGUAAAUGAUAUAAUACCGUUUAUAGCAAAUCAGUUCGUAAAGUAAAUCAUUGUAUAAACAAAAUCAUAUACAUGUAGAUUUUUGUUAUUAUUUGUGAUAAUUGUUUUUAUGAAAAUAAUGUUUAUGGCACAAAUUAGAGCUCAAAACAUAGUCUUUUAUUGAUGAAUGAGAAAAAGAAUGCUUAUGUGAUAACAAAGAUAAACAAUAUAGCGUAACCUGUAAACUUACAGGAGCAAGCCAUCCCCCAAAACUUCUUGUUUUCCCAACCAAAUGAAAAAACCUCUUCCUUUUCUCUCUGUAAAAAUCAGGGCCUCUUCACAAAUCAAAAAAUCAAUUAGGGCCUCUUCCCAAAUGAGUAUAACUAGGGCUUUCUCUCAAACAAGAACUCGAAUUAGGGCAUUCUCUCAAAAAAGACCUUAGUAUAAUUAGGGCUUUCUCUCAAACAACAACUCAAAUCAGAGAGAAAAAUCUUCUUCAAACUAUCCCAAAUCGGCAUCCUAUCUUCCUUCCUUUUUCUCUCUCAAAAAAUCAGUUAGGACCUCUUCCAUUAGGGUCUGUGAAGCCGAUGAGCUCUUCCUUCUUCCUUCUUCCUUCUUCUCUCUCUAUACUUCUUCCUUCUUCUCUCUCUAUAAACCAAAGCCGAUGAACUUUUCCUACUUCUUUCUUCUCUCUCUAUAAACCCUUGUGGCUAUGAGCCUCUUCCUUCAUCCAUCUUCUCUCUCUAAACCAUAAAUACAGAUGUGAA
rnacentral:lncRNA from 1 species